rnacentral:rRNA from 1 species
CCUACGGGUGGCAGCAGUGAGGAAUAUUGGUCAAUGGACGAGAGUCUGAACCAGCCAAGUAGCGUGAAGGAUGACGGCCCUAUGGGUGGUAAACUUCUUUUAUAGGGGAAUAAAAUGUACCACGUGGGGGAUUGUGUAUGUACCAUAUGAAUAAGGAUCGGCUAACUCCGUGCCAGCAGCCGCGGUAAUACGGAGGAUCCGAGCGUUAUGCGGAUUUAUUGGGGUUAAAGGGAGCGUAGGGGGCUUGUUAAGUCAGUGGUGAAAGUUUGCGGCUAAACCGUAAAAGUGCAGUUGAAACGGGCAGUCUUGAGUACAGUAGCGGUGGGCGGCAUUC